CAUCACUACGCUAGAUGCAUAUCAAUAAGCGGAGGAAAAGAAACUAACAAGGAUUCCCCUAGUAACGGCGAGUGAAGCGGGAAGAGCUCAAAUUUGAAAUCUUCAAGGGUUUACCUUUACGAAUUGUAGUUUAAAGAAGUGUUUUCUGUUGAAGUUUCGGUAAAAGUUCUUUGGAAUAGGACAUCAUAGAGGGUGAGAAUCCCGUAUUUGACCAUUAUUUUCAGCUGUGUGAUACACUUUCAAAGAGUCGGAUUGUUUGGGAAUGCAGUCCAAAAUGGGUGGUAAAUUUCAUCUAAAGCUAAAUAUUGGCGAGAGACCGAUGGCGAACAAGUACCGUGAGGGAAAGAUGAAAAGAACUUUGAAAAGAGAGUUAAACAGUACGUGAAAUUGUCAAAAGGGAAGCGUUUGACACCAGUGUUGUUUUCUCGAAAAUCAAUUCAUGAUGGCUUGGUGCUAGGUUGUUAAGACUUUAUCAGCUUACUGUCUAGUUUUCUUGUCUUUGUGAAUGCACUUUUUCGUUUAACAAGUCAACAUCAAUUUCUUUUGUUGUAAAAGAGUCAUUGGAAGGUGGCUUUUUCUUCGGAAAAAGUGUUUAUAGCCUUUGGCUUCUGCAAUCGGAGAGAUUGAGGUCUGCAGCGUAGAUCCUUCGGGGUUAGAUACAUUUGUGCUAAGCUAUAGUUCUUUAUAGACAACUUGUUGGCUAUAAUCAAUCCUGUAACUUACUCGCUUAUGCUAUUUUACCUACGCUUAGGAUGUUGACACACGCGCGUGCUCG
rnacentral:rRNA from 1 species